CUACGGAGGUUGCAAGCGUUACUCGGAAUCACUGGGCGUAAAGCGCGCGCAGGCGGCUAUUUAAGUUGGAUGUGAAAGCCUACGGCUCAACCGUAGAACUGCAUCCAAAACUAUUUAGCUAGAGUGUGGGAGAGGAAGAUGGAAUUAGUUGUGUAGGGGUAAAAUCCGUAGAGAUAACUAGGAAUACCAAAAGCGAAGGCAAUCUUCUGGAACACUACUGACGCUGAGGCGCGAAAGCGUGGGGAGCAAACGGGAUUAGAAACCCUAGUAGUCC
rnacentral:rRNA from 1 species